CAUCAACAUUGUUUAACAGUGUCCUGAAUUUGGUUUGAAGCUCUGUGGCGGCUCAGAGAAAGGAGGCAUUGGCUGCUGGUGGAGCUGGUCAGACCAGUGGACGCUGAUACCUGGAGGAUGCAAAGAUACACAGCUGGGGCAGCCAACUGGAAAUGAACCCAACAGCAGGAGGCCAGAGGAAUAUGCAGGCCUGAAGGAGUCUAGAACAUCGUGGUGGUAGGUAGGUUGAGGCCGAGGCAAGCAGUAGCACACAGCAGGCAGCAUCAAGGAAUGACAAGAGGUACAUGAGUUUCCUAACACCCCACAGAGUUCAGCAACUGGGAAGUCAGCAGGAGGCCAUAUGCUGAGGUUUGAGGAGGGAGCGAGAGUCCCAGGGGCUAGCUAGUCAGUGGACCUCAAAUUUAAGCUUGG
rnacentral:lncRNA from 1 species